AAUUCUCAACCUUGUUCGCUUUUACCGGCUUGAACGAGGCUUGGAUGUGAGGGCUUGCUGGCUUCCUUCAGUGGAUGGUCUGCUCCCUUUAAAUGCAUUAGUGGGAUCUCUUGUGGACCGUCACUUGGUGUGAUAAUUAUCUACGCCUCGUCGACUUUGAAGCAAAUCUUAUGGGAACCCGCUCAUAACCGUCUCGCAAGGGACAACUUUGACA
rnacentral:misc_RNA from 1 species